GGAGAGGUGCCAGAGCGGACUAAUGGGGCGGUCUCGAAAACCGUUGAGCCCUUCGCGGGGCUCCGUGGGUUCGAAUCCCACCCUCUCCGCCA
rnacentral:tRNA from 1 species